rnacentral:rRNA from 1 species
UACGUAGGGUGCAAGCGUUGUCCGGAAUUAUUGGGCGUAAAGAGCUCGUAGGCGGUCUGUCGCGUCGGAUGUGAAAAUCCAGGGCUCAACCCUGGACCUGCAUUCGAUACGGGCAGACUAGAGUUCGGCAGGGGAGACUGGAAUUCCUGGUGUAGCGGUGAAAUGCGCAGAUACCAGGAGGAACACCGGUGGCGAAGGCGGGUCUCUGGGCCGAUACUGACGCUGAGGAGCGAAAGCGUGGGGAGCGAACAGG